UGGGGAAUCUUGCGCAAUGGCCGAAAGGCUGACGCAGCGACGCCGCGUGUGGGAGGAAGCUCUUCGGGGUGUAAACCACUGUUGCCCGGGACGAACAGCCCUUUUCGAGGGGCCUGACGGUACCGGGUGAGGAAGCACCGGCUAACUCUGUGCCAGCAGCCGCGGUAAUACAGAGGGUGCGAGCGUUGUCCGGAAUCACUGGGCGUAAAGGGCGCGUAGGUGGUGGCUUAAGCGUGCGGUGAAAGCUCGGAGCUCAACUCCGAGUCGGCCGUGCGAACUGGGCUCACUGGAGCAUAGUAGAGGCAGGUGGAAUUCCGGGUGUAGCGGUGGAAUGCGUAGAGAUCCGGAAGAACACCGGUGGCGAAGGCGGCCUGCUGGGCUAUGGCUGACACUGAGGCGCGACAGCGUGGGGAGCAAACA
rnacentral:rRNA from 1 species